CCCAAACUGUUAAUCUUCAAUACCCCUUUGUACUUACGAUCUUGUAUCCACUGACUGUCCUGUUAGAUUAACCCAAUAAAUUUCAUUCACUCCGCAUACUCAAUCCUAUAGACACCCCUUUAAUCCUUCAAUCACUGACGUAACUCGAUUUUACAAAACAGUCAAGAGUAUUCAAACCCACUUCAUUUAAAAAUCCCGAUUCACUAUUACAACACUGACUUCAGCAGCGAUUGCCUCAGUCUUC
rnacentral:lncRNA from 1 species